rnacentral:rRNA from 1 species
AUUGAACGCUGGCGGCAGGCCUAACACAUGCAAGUCGAGCGAGCGGCGGACGCGUGAGUAAUGUAUGGGGACUGCCCGUGAGAGGGGGGUAACUACUGGGAACGGUGGAUAAUACCGCAUACUCAUGGAUAACCCCUAUGGGAUUAGCUAGUAGGUUGGGUAACGGCUUACCUAGGCGACGAUCCCUAGCUGGUCUGAGAGGAUGAUCAGCCACACUGGGACGGAGACACGGCCCAGACUCCUACGGAGGCAGCAGUGGGGAAUAUUGCACAAUGGGCGCAAGCCUGAUGCAGCCAUGCCGCGUGUAUGAAGAAGGCCCUAGGGUUGUAAAGUACUUUCAGUGGGGAGGCGUUACCGACAGAAGAAGCACCGGCUAACUCCGUGCCAGCAGCCGCGGUAAUUC